AGAAGUAAACAUGAAGAAAGGGGAAAGGAAGGGGAAGGUGACGCUGAUCCUGGCUGCAGCCUCUCUGGUUGCUGGAUUUGGUUCGUCUUUUCAAUAUGGAUACAACGUAGCUGUGGUCAACUCACCUGCCCCUGAGAUGCAGCAGUUCUACAGGCGAAUAUAUGUGGAUCGUUAUGGCCCAAUGUCGGACAAUCUCCUCACCCUCUUGUGGUCCGUAACUGUGUCCAUGUAUCCACUGGGUGGGUUUUUCGGCUCUCUCAUGGUGGCUCCAUUAGUGAACAAAUUUGGAAGAAAAGGCACACUCCUGUUCAAUAACAUCUUCUCUAUUGUUCCCGCUAUAAUGAUGGGUGUGAGUGAAGUGGCGGGGUCAUUUGAGAUUAUUAUUGUCGCACGUUUUCUGGUGGGCAUCUGUGCAGGCUGUCUUCCAAUGUGGUGCCUAUGUAUUUGGGAGAGAUCGCACCCAAGAAUUACAGAGG